UGUUUGCUUCUGCAUCAAACUACAGCUCAUCAGUCAUGGACAAAAGAGUGCUGCUGGUCCUGUUGUGUGUGCAGGUUUUCCUGCUCAUUGCAGACUUCACUGCUACUGAUGCAGCCCCCGUGGAGGGAGAUGAUCAAAUGCCUCCUGUUCAGGUGGAGAGAAAAAAUGGAGACAGACAGAAAAGACAUGCCAUGUGUGGCGAAGUCCUAGGAGCUUGUUUUCCAGGAGCUCCAAUGGCAAGACCACUUCCAUUUUACAUAAAACCUUCCAGAUUGUGUCUAAAUAAACAGUUGCUUUAAGUGUCAGAUUUCAAUAUUUUAAGUUGCUCAUUAUUGGUUGGCAGAGCAUGUUAUAUCAAUAAUAGCUCUGAAUGCUGGGAUAUUUGUAAUUAACUUGUGGAACUGAUCUGCUUAUAAAAUUAUUCAACAGCCUUCGUUUGAGCAGCCACACAAUCCAAUGACUACUGAUCAAACUAUCCAGCACCUCUGACACUCCUCCCCCUCGUCGUCCCCGCAGACCAAAGAUUUUCGGCGACAUGAAUGAUCCCAAGUAUGAACAGAGGAAUGUCAUGAGCUGAGCUACUUCAGUGGAAAUGAAUUCUGGUGAUCAUGUAACUUCUGCAUCACAUACACGCUGCUGUCGUUAUGUUAAAGCAAAUGGCUCUGUUAGUGAACUGCUUAAAGUGGAGUUAACUGGUGUUCAUGCUCAAACGCUGUUGCUGUCAACAGUUACAUUAGUCACUGCUGCGCUUAUGCUGUCCACCAAAAGUCUUAUCAAAAUAAAACGAGUUUCAGAUUAAAGACAA